AAACAAAGAUGCCGCAGACAGCAGGCGCGAAAAUUUCGCUCAAUUUCCUGCCGAGGUGUUAGGGUUUGAAAAAAGAUUACUCAAAGAUUUAUUCUUUUUUUAUGUCCUUUACGCCGUGCGGCGUAAAGGCUUUUUAAUUUCUU
rnacentral:sRNA from 1 species